rnacentral:lncRNA from 1 species
CUAGCCCGGAGCAUAUACGACUGGCAGAGGAGGGUGAGCAGCGAAAAGAACCUUUGGAUUCCAAGACCACAGCGAAAAGAAAAGAGCUGAUUUGGCACGACGUUACCGAGCAACUGGACAUAACAAGGGACCGAGCAAAACAGCAGCGGAAAGGCACAAAAGACAAUUUCGCAGCGUCCGUGCCAAGCCGCGCUCCCUGCCUAGCGGACCGGCUGCAGUAGCCCUGGCGCCGCUUCAAGAGCAGCAGAAGCUGUACCUCUGUACCUUGGGCGCGGGCUCGGAUGCCAAGGCUACCUGCCCGAGUCUCCGGGGGUCGCACUCUGAGUUGACGCAUCUUGACGCCGCAGAAGGUGCCGGAGGGGAAACAGCGUACACUCCAACACCUGAGCGCAGCGGCACGGAAACGCCCAGUGCUGUGGCACCAACAGGGGUGUCUUCGACGCUGGAUCAGCUGAACGCAAGGGAAGAAAUAGCAAAGAAAAGUAAACACGCGGGUUUUUUCACUGAACUAGACCAGAUGCUGGAACGCAUGGGAGAGCGCAAAGCGUGUGAGUUCAAAGCUAGAGUGUACGCGGAGGCCGUGAAGACUGCUUUCAAUUUGUAGCUUCUAGCUGAGUGGGCCAUACCGAAAGCUACAUGUUUUGUCGUGCACUGUUUCAAUUCUGUUCAGCCUGGAAAGUUGACCCAUGAUGUAUUGUGCUUUGUGAAGUUCAUAUACCUACCUAAGUUUAUAGCUUGCGGGAAUACGCGAGAUUGUACAUUGUAUUGUAUUUUAUUAUAUAUUUUCAUCAACCUC